AGCAGUCGCCACGGGAAUACAGAGGGUGCAAGCGUUAAUCGGAUUUACUGGGCGUAAAGGGCGCGUAGGUGGUUAUUUAAGUGAGAUGUGGAAGCCCCGGGCUUAGCCUGGGAACUGCAUCUUAUACUGGGUAACUGGAGUGCAGUAGAGGGUAGUGGAAUUUCCGGUGUAGCGGUGAAAUGCGUAGAUAUCGGAAGGAACACCAGUGGCGAAGGCGGCCAUCUGUGACAACACUGACGCUGAGGCACGAAAGCGUGGGGAGCAAACAGGAUUAGAUACCCCGGUAGUCCCUGUCUCUUAAAA
rnacentral:rRNA from 1 species